rnacentral:rRNA from 1 species
ACGUAGGGGGCAAGCGUUAUCCGGAAUUACUGGGUGUAAAGGGUGCGUAGGUGGCAUGGUAAGUCAGAAGUGAAAGCCCGGGGCUUAACCCCGGGACUGCUUUUGAAACUGUCAUGCUGGAGUGCAGGAGAGGUAAGCGGAAUUCCUAGUGUAGCGGUGAAAUGCGUAGAUAUUAGGAGGAACACCAGUGGCGAAGGCGGCUUACUGGACUGUCACUGACACUGAUGCACGAAAGCGUGGGGAGCAAACAG